AAAGUCACAUGGAGCCAGGCGUCACAUAUUGUCUGGCUCCCGGUGAAACAGCCAGACCUCACGUCCUCUGGCCGCGAUCCCCAGCAUACUAAACCGGCGCGAGGGCGCGCGGGGGGGGGCUUCGUCCACCUUUAACAUCCCCACGACGGACCGCGGUGCGUGAACGCAAACUUCAACACCUUGCGGCGCCGUCAGCAAAUCAACACGGCGCUGACGUCAACGCAGCCAGUCAGCCAGACGAGCAGCAGGCGGGCGGGCGGCCGGCGCUACGCUCCAGCCCGUGCAAACAGUGAGAAAGUGAGACACCUAGGGGGCUGUCUCGUGUCAAACGGCUCUGUUACAGUACGGCAGUGAAAGGUGAGCGACGCCGCCCUCCCUCCGGCGGCUUGGAUGUAGGUUACACGCAGCCUACGGUCAUCCGCUAACUCCGGCCAGGGGCGGCCUCAGAGCCGUGGCGGCCCUACUGUAUGCGGGGAUGGGGGCUCCCACGGCCCCCUGCAACCAUUUGAACGGCACUACCGAUUUAGGUGGUAGUACAGUACAGUGUAUAGAUAUGGAGCAAUAAAGCAGCUUUGUGAUAAAAUAAUUUAAAAAGCUCAUCAAAAAGGUAAUAUUGAAACCUUCUGGAAGGUGAUUUACUUCAUAAAAUAAAAAAAAAUCUGAUUUUGUAUUAUACUGUAAACCAUUGUUUUUUUUUUUCAUUUAAAACCUACUAUUAAAAAUUGACAAUACAGCGGUAAGCAAAUGCAAAAUUGUGAAAAAUGCGUAAAACUUGUUUUUAACACAAGAUAACUUAAGUGCAUGAGAUGGAACAGUUGCUUCCUUGUUUCCCAGUAUCAGUAUCAUUUUCCCCUUUCCACCUCAUACAUUUUCAGCCUAGUAAGUCUUUUAUAGUAACGGCAUAUUUCACAUAUUUAAAGCCUGAUUGAUGUUUUUGCCUUAAUGGUGACCACUGAGCAGCAAUUCUUACCCAGUGAUUCAAUUUGAAUAUAUUUGAUUAUGUUGUCUUUAAAGGCUCCUUCUGAAGUCUAGUGUCACCAUUUGUAUGAGGGCAUUGCACGUAUAGCAUCACAUUGAUACUAGUCGACUGCCAUGUCCAUGAUGUUUCAUCCUGAUUGUCAGUCCUCUAAUUUUUAUUCUAGUGCCACCAGCAGGUUACACAUACAACAACAGCCCCCCUAUAGAAAUACAGACAUAAACAUACUUACAGUACGAGUGAAGCUCGUACCAGGAACUGCAAUGGAAGACAUAAGCUGGCAAAAAUACAUAAACUAUCAAACAACACUAAAGAGUGUAUUAAGUAAGAAGCUUUUCCAGGUGGUGCAAGAAGAACCAUUUACAAGACAACUACACUGAGAGCAAAGAAGCUGGAAGUGCCUCAUCGUUCCAGGAUGAUGAGUUUAGUCACCUCCCUGCCUCCGGCUCACAUCAACACUCCACUGACUGAGGCUGAUAAAAUAGAAGCGAUGGACAAGUUGGGUCACAGUAGACUAUCUGAGGGAGGCUGGGGUCAUUCGGUGUCUGCAACAGAUCACUCAGCGUGCUCCAUCAAUCAGCAGGGGUUAACAGGACACUCCACUUUAAGGAGGUGUCCCCGGAACAGGAAGGAGCACAUAAUGUUAUGAUUGGUAUUAAAAAUAACAAGAUCAAGUAUUUUCCUCAUAGCUAAGGUACGAGUCCUGUAAAUGUUAACAAUGUUCUCUGGAGCAGCCCAGGUCAACUCAAAGCCAUCACACAUGAAGCUUUUUCUAAACCAGGCCAUUUAGUUUUUCUUUGCAGUGAUUAUUCUCUUUAAGUGGUGCUUCAUUCUGAUUUCAAGGCUGGAUUCAUUAUGGCUCUUGUUUGUCAGUGAGGUGAAGGACAGCAGGAUGCAAUUGACACACACCAUUUCAAAUUCCUCAGUUUAAGAAUAAUUGUAUCAUUUAUCUUAUACACCAUAUGUAAUAUUAUAUAAUAUAUAAUCCUGAAUUAGUUAUAUUUUUUCAAGUGUAGGCUUAUACACACUGACCUACUUUUACUUUGACCAAAACCUUCAGUUCACUAACAUAAUUCCAUCUUGUUCAAAUGUCUAUUUAUUUUCAUCUCACUUUAGUUUCUAAGCAGUUCACGUAAUUGAUUGCCAUUUAAGUUUUCACAUUUCCUGAACAACAAUUACAGCAACUCAAACUUUUCUCAUUUGUUCCUAUUUUUGAAAUAGCAACAGGUCUGGGUUCUUGCACCAGGUUGUGAGCUGUCAAACACUUUAUAGCUGCUUUCAAAUGGAAAGCAUAGGUUUGAGGGGAGCUUUCAGGAAAAUCUCAUUUCCUUUAAAAUACAGUGGUGCACAGGGAAUUUUUAGAUUCAUCUGGGCACAGAUCACAGAGCACUUCAUUACCUUUGAGCUGCGUGCUGUGCAGGCUUACCCAGGGAUAAAGACAUAAUCCACCAUUUUACAGAGGGAAAGGAAGAUGAGGGCUAAAUUAUAAAAAACAGAUCAUCGCUGCACUUUAAAAUAAUACCAAGAUACACUUGGUCCAAGAUUUCGAAAAAAAAAAAAGCGGGAUUACUGAGGAAGGUUUGGUGGGUAGAAACGGGAGCAUUAGCUGUCAGUGAGUUAAUAGCAGCUUGUGUGUGAUUCAGAGGUUGGUUAUGUACAGUGAGCUGCAUGCCAAAGCUGGGUAGGAAAAGGUUGAAAAAAGCACCAAUGUGAAUUCUAUAUUUAAAGAUGUAUCACAAUUUUUCACAAUCAAAGACAAAUGAAUGUGUCAUCAAUUUGCCAUAUUUGUUUUGUUUCAUGUCUUCUUACUGUAAAGUUUAUUUCAAGUCUCGCAUUUAUUGUUUCUGCAUUUGAAAUAAAAUGACACUGUGUAUGUGA